rnacentral:rRNA from 1 species
UACGGGGGAUGCAAGCGUUAUCCGGAUUUAUUGGGUUUAAAGGGUGCGUAGGCGGUCUAUUAAGUCAGCGGUGAAAUUUAAGGGGCUCAACCUCUACCGUGCCGUUGAUACUGGUAGGCUAGAAUGCGGAUGCCGUGGGAGGAAUGUGUGGUGUAGCGGUGAAAUGCAUAGAUAUCACACAGAACACCGAUUGCGAAGGCAUCUCACGAAUCCGCUAUUGACGCUGAUGCACGAAAGCGUGGGGAUCAAACAGG